rnacentral:rRNA from 1 species
UCUAAAGGUACUGCGGAGGACAUUACCGUAAAACAAAAAUCCAACAGAGAGUGGAUUAAAAUCAAAGCUCGUGGAGUCAACUCUUGAAAAUGUCUCAGUGUAUUCUGAGAAAAUCAGGAGCCACGUAGCAUACUCCCACUGCCUCUUAUUGAAUUUCUGAGUUUAGGCUCAAGAUAUUUUUUGUAUAGAGGUGUGGCGUGGGGCUGAUCAAUGUUGUCAGUAUACACGUUAAAAUCGCAGAGGAAUGAAAUUGGGAUCGAUCUUGUCGCCUACUUCUAUCUCUGUAAAAAUAUUUUGUAGAAUUUGCUCUCUGUGAGAAAUCACGGAAGGUAAUGCCUAUGAUCAUGUUGAAAACGGAAACAUACAACCAAAAAAACUAAAAAUAUCAACCUCGAGUGGUGGAUCACUCGGCUCGUGGGUCGAUGAAGAACGCAAAUAACUGCGUGCAAACGUGUGAACUGCAGGACACAUGAACACCGACGUUUUGAACGCAUAUGGCGGCCUGAAAUAACUUUCAGGCCAUGUCUGGCUGAGGGUCGGAUAAGUAAGAUCAACCUUAAAUGCUCAUCCGUGAGUACUAAUCGCCGAGUUUGUUGCCGGUCUCAGUUUAAAUCUGAGUGGAUAAGCUUGGUUAGAGUAACAUGGGGUAGUGCCCUCGUAUAAACACGAUUUGUGCUGUGUCCGAUCGGUUAACGAGUGCUUGCAUAACGCUUAUGUGUCCCACCUAAAUGCUGUGUGGGUGAAAUCGAACUAGAAACCUCACAGCAGGCAAGAUUACCCGCUAAAUUUCAGCUUAUCAAUAAGCGGAGAGAAAGGGGAAGAAU